CCAAAUUAUUUUAAUAAUAUAAUAAGUAUAGAGCUAUCAUGCUAUCGAAAGUAUAAAGUAAUUGAUGCUUUAGGUUUUUUAACUUUUGGAUCAAAGAUUAUAUAGUUGGAAUGAUAGCGAUCCCCUUAGGUAUCCCUACGGUUGAGUGGUCUUCAUUAGUUAAUAAUACUAAUCUAAUGGUUAGAAAUGAUCAUCGGAAGCACCAAUUACUUUAUGAUUCCGAUAACAUAGUAGCUCUACUCAUAUAAUAAUAUAUUGUUAAUGUUAUAAUCUACAUCUGUUUACAUUUUUAGAUUAAUUA
rnacentral:lncRNA from 1 species